UGUCUAUUAAUUGUAGACCAGCAUGAAAGGCAAAAUGAGGGUCUAACUGUCUCUUAUAGUCAACCAAUUAAACUGAUCUCCUAGUAAAAAAGCUAGUAUACCCCCAUAAGACCAGAAGACCCUGUGAAGCUUAAACUAAACUAUUAAACCAAAUAAUAACUACUUUCGGUUGGGGCGACCUUGGAAAAAAAAAGAACUUCCAAACACAACGACCAUAAAUCACCAAAAUAUCUCAGGCCUACAAGCCCCCCCAGACCCAGUCUCACUGAUAAACGAACCAAGUUACUCCAGGGAUAACAGCGCCAUCUUCUUCAAGAGCCCAUAUCAAAAGGAAGGUUUACGACCUCGAUGUUGGAUCAGGACAUCCUAAUGGUGCA
rnacentral:rRNA from 1 species